rnacentral:rRNA from 1 species
AGCGAACGCUGGCGGCAGGCUUAACACAUGCAAGUCGAGCGGGCCCUUCGGGGUCAGCGGCAGACGGGUGAGUAACACGUGGGAACGUGCCCUUCGGUUCGGAAUAACUCAGGGAAACUUGAGCUAAUACCGGAUACGCCCUUUUGGGGAAAGGUUUACCGCCGAAGGAUCGGCCCGCGUCUGAUUAGCUAGUUGGUGGGGUAACGGCCUACCAAGGCGACGAUCAGUAGCUGGUCUGAGAGGAUGAUCAGCCACACUGGGACUGAGACACGGCCCAGACUCCUACGGGAGGCAGCAGUGGGGAAUAUUGGACAAUGGGCGCAAGCCUGAUCCAGCCAUGCCGCGUGAGUGAUGAAGGCCUUAGGGUUGUAAAGCUCUUUUGUCCGGGACGAUAAUGACGGUACCGGAAGAAUAAGCCCCGGCUAACUUCGUGCCAGCCGCCGCGGUAACAC